CCAAAGUGGAGGGGCACCUGUUGGUCAGACAUUUCUUCAGCCCACUAACAUGGUUCCACAGGUAUCACCAAGUGUACCUCAACAAUAUUUUCAGGAUUGUCCAUACCUUUCAAGUACAGAACGUCAUUCUUCAUCAGGGUCUGUGCCAG